rnacentral:rRNA from 1 species
UGGGGAAUAUUGCACAAUGGGCGCAAGCCUGAUGCAGCCAUGCCGCGUGUGUGAAGAAGGCCUUCGGGUUGUAAAGCACUUUCAGCGAGGAGGAAGGUGGUGAACUUAAUACGUUCAUCAAUUGACGUUACUCGCAGAAGAAGCACCGGCUAACUCCGUGCCAGCAGCCGCGGUAAUACGGAGGGUGCAAGCGUUAAUCGGAAUUACUGGGCGUAAAGCGCACGCAGGCGGUUUGUUAAGUCAGAUGUGAAAUCCCCGGGCUCAACCUGGGAACUGCAUUUGAAACUGGCAAGCUAGAGUCUCGUAGAGGGGGGUAGAAUUCCAGGUGUAGCGGUGAAAUGCGUAGAGAUCUGGAGGAAUACCGGUGGCGAAGGCGGCCCCCUGGACGAAGACUGACGCUCAGGUGCGAAAAGCGUGGGGCAGCAAACAGGAUUAGAUACCCUGGUAGUCCACGCUGUAAACGAUGUCGAUUUGGAGGUUGUGCCCUUGAGGCGUGGCUUCCGGAGCUAACGCGUUAAAUCGACCGCCUGGGGAGUACGGCCGCAAGGUUAAAACUCAAAUGAAUUGACGGGGUCAUAGCUGUUUCCU